rnacentral:lncRNA from 1 species
ACCAUUAGCCCUGGGUCUCAAAGGAUGAAAUGACUGCAUUUGAAUUUCACUCACCGGAAAUGAUUCCCCCUCUCUCCCUGCAGUGACCCUGCGUUCUGGCUCACUCCUGGCUUCUUACUGAGAAGGAGUUCCUCAUAUUCCCAGAAACAAAGAAAUCCAAAAAAGGAAAAAAAAAAAAAGAGGGAAAAUGGAGCCUACAAGCUGUGACAUCAGUCUACAACUGGCCUCUAUGAAGCCUGGCCCUUAAUAACCUUGGAAUCCCGGAGGACUUCUUCAAGCCUGAUAACGCUCUCUCAUAAAACUUUUCGAAGCCAUGGCGAUCACUGGGGACUCCAAGUCAAAUGGUAACACAAUUUAAUUAAGUGGGUGCAUGAACUUUCUAAGAUGUUUGUAGAUUUUGGUGUGUACAUGCAUUUUUCUGAGGAGACAGUCUCAAACUCUCAAACAGGGAAGUGACCCCACGAAAUUUAAGGAUUAGUAAUUUCAUGAUUCCUCCUUCUUUCCAAAGAACCCAAACGCAGAUGUUCACUUGAGGGACC